UACGAAGGGGGCUAGCGUUGCUCGGAAUCACUGGGCGUAAAGGGUGCGUAGGCGGGCCUUUAAGUCAGGGGUGAAAUCCUGGAGCUCAACUCCAGAACUGCCUUUGAUACUGAGGAUCUUGAGUUCGGGAGAGGUGAGUGGAACUGCGAGUGUAGAGGUGAAAUUCGUAGAUAUUGGGAGGAACACCGGUGGCGAAGGCGACCGCCUGGACGAUGACUGACGCUGAGGCGCGAGAGCGUGGGGAGCAAACAGG
rnacentral:rRNA from 1 species